rnacentral:misc_RNA from 1 species
ACACCCAUCAAGCCUGGCUUGGUAUUGGGCGACGGGACCUCCCCGCGCCCCGAUUUCGCCGGCUGGACGCAUCCCGAUCUCAAGCGCUGUAAUGAGCAUUCGCUGGAGGGACGGGCGGCCACGCCGUUAACUCUUAAUCAAACA